rnacentral:rRNA from 1 species
AACGAACGCUGGCGGCAGGCCUAACACAUGCAAGUCGAACGAGACCUUCGGGACUAGUGGCUCACGGGUGCGUAACGCGUUGGAAGCUGCCCGUAUAUUCGGAAUAACUCCUCGAAGGGGGUGCUAAUACCGGAAAAUUUCUUCUGACCAAACAUUUAUCGCAUUUGGAUGGGCCCGCGUUGCUUUAGCUAGUUGGUAGGGUAAACGCCUAUCAAGGCGAAGAUACCUAGCGGGUCUGAGAGGAAGAGCAGCCACACUGAGACUGAGCAACGGUCCAGACUCUUACGGGAGGAAGCCGUGGCUAAUCUUGGCAAACCGGCGAAAGCAUGAUGCAGCUCGGAUGCUUGAGCCAUGAAGGUCUUAGAGUUGUACAGCUCUUUUACCCGCCAUUAUAAUGACAGUACCGGGAGAAUAAGCACCGGCUAACUUCGUG